rnacentral:siRNA from 1 species
GUUCAUUAACCAAAUCUAAGUGCC